rnacentral:rRNA from 1 species
UACGGGGGGAGCAAGCGUUGUUCGGAUUUACUGGGCGUAAAGGGCGCGUAGGCGGUCAGCACAAGUCAGUUGUGAAAUCUCCGGGCUUAACUCGGAAAGGUCAACUGAUACUGUGCGACUAGAGUGCAGAAGGGGCAACUGGAAUUCUUGGUGUAGCGGUGAAAUGCGUAGAUAUCGAGAGGAACACCUGAGGUGAAGACGGGUUGCUGGGCCGACACUGACGCUGAUGCGCGAAAGCCAGGGGAGCGAACGGG